rnacentral:rRNA from 1 species
CGAGUGGCGGACGGGUGAGUAACGCGUGGGAAUCUGCCUACUAGCGGGGGAUAGCCCGGAGAAAUCCGGAUUAAUACCGCAUACGCCCUACGGGGGAAAGCUGGGGAUCUUCGGACCUGGCACUAGUAAAUGAGCCCGCGUUGGAUUAGCUUGUUGGUGGGGUAACGGCCUACCAAGGCAACGAUCCAUAGCUGUUCUGAGAGGAAGAUCAGCCACACUGGGACUGAGACACGGCCCAG